AGGGUUUGAUCCUGGCUCAGAGUGAACGCUGGCGGCGUGGAUUAGGCAUGCAAGUCGAGCGAUCUUUAUUAUUGAAGUUCUUGAAAGCUUCGGCCGGAUGGAAUGGAUUUAAUUGAGAUAGCGGCAAACGGGUGAGGAACACGUGGGUAACGUGCCUUAAGGAGAGUAACAGCCCUGCGAAAGUGGGGGUAAUGACUCGUAAGCUUUAAACCUGCAAUGGUUUUUUGGAAAGACGGCCUCUACUUGUAAGCUGUCACCUUAAGAGCGGCCCGCGGCCUAUCAGGUAGUUGGUGGGGUAAUGGCCCACCAAGCCAAAGACGGGUAGCUGGCUUAAGAGAGUGGUCAGCCACAUCGGAACUGAGACACUGUCCGGACUCCUACGGGAGGCUGCAGUCGAGGAUCUUUCUCAAUGGGGGAAACCCUGAAGAUGCGACGCCGCGUGAGGGAUGAAGGCCUUCGGGUUGUAAACUUCUUUUAUCGGGGAGCAAUACCGGUGUGUUAACUGCACACUGGGGUGACUGUACCCGUUGAAUAAGCCACGGCUAACUCCGUGCCAGCAGCCGCGGUAAUACGGAGGUGGCAAGCGUUACUCGGUUUGACUGGGUGUAAAGGGUCCGCAGGCGGUCAGGUAUGUAAAAGGUGAAAUCCUUCGGCUCAACCGUAGAAUUGCCUUUUAAACUGCUUGGCUUGAGAUUGGGAGAGGAGAGUGGAACUGACGGUGUAAAGGUGAAAUUUGUGGAUAUCGUCAGGAACACCCGUGGGGAAGCCGGCUCUCUGGCCCAAUUCUGACGCUCAGGGACGAAAGCUAGGGGAGCAAACAGAAUUAGAUACUCUGGUAGUCCUAGCCGUAAACGAUGGGCACUAGGUGCUUGCUUUUUAAAGUGGGUGCCGUAGCUAACGCGUUAAGUGCCCCACCUGGGGACUACGGCCGCAAGGCUAAAACUCAAAGGAAUUGACGGGGGCCCGCACAAGCGGUGGAACACGUGGUUUAAUUCGAUGCUACGCGAUGAACCUUACCAAGGUUUGACAUGCUAGAAGUAGUAUCUCGAAAGAGAGUCCGACCUGUAUCCAAUCAGGAACUAGCACAGGUGCUGCAUGGCUGUCGUCAGCUCGUGCCGUGAGGUGUUUCCUUAAGUGGAAGAACGAGCGCAACCCUCGUCUUUAGUUGCCACCUACAGUGUUGAACUGUAGAGCACUCUAAAGAGACUGCCCGCGUUAAGUGGGAGGAAGGUGAGGACGACGUCAAGUCCGCAUGGCCUUUAUAUCUUGGGCUACACACGUGUUACAAUGCCUACUACAAUGGGACGCCAAGUCGUAAGAUGGAGCAAAUCCUUAUAAAAGUAGGCCCAGUUCGGAUUGAGGGCUGCAACUCGUCCUCAUGAAGCUGGAAUCGCUAGUAAUGGCGUAUCAGCUACGACGCCGUGAAUACGUUCCCGGGCCUUGUACACACCGCCCGUCAAGCGCUGAAAGUGGGGGGUACCCGAAGUCUCGAUUUAUCAAGAUCACGGUAAAUUUCAUGAUUGGCGCUAAGUCGGAACAAGGUA
rnacentral:rRNA from 1 species